rnacentral:rRNA from 1 species
AAUCCCAAGCAACCGCGAUUGCUACAGUAACGGCGAGUGAACUGGCAAGGCUUCAUGGCUCGACCCGAAGGGGACUGCGAUCAACCCCGCCACUGCUUCGGCAGGGAGCGGCCGGCUGCUGAUUUGUCUCGGAAGGCUGUGGGUUACGGAGCGGAUGGCAAGUCUGUGAGCGGGAUGCGAUGCCUGGAAUGGCCCUGGAAUGGCUUACGACGCAGGGCUACCGUCCCGUACAACCGGCAGAGCGUGUCGCGUCCCCUCACGGUUUGCUGUCCGUAUCCACGAGUAGAGCGGCUUGGGACUGCAGUUUGAAGCGCGGGGUGUAUCCCCCGCAAGGAGCAAUACCACCGUGGGACCGAUAGCGCACAAGUAGAGUGAUUGAAGGAUGCAAAGAACUUUGCAAAGAGGGUUCAAAGUCCCUGAAGCCUCGGCAGGAACGGCGGUGUGCGGGGCCGUGGACCCCUGAUCCACGAGUGAUGUGUCCCAAGCGGCCUCGGGCCGGCCCGGUGCGAGCCAUUGAGCCCAUCCCCCCGGGGGUGGAUGCAGUCGUGGUGGCACCGCGGUGGCAGUCCGCCUGUCAGGGCCCGAGGCUAUGCUUUCCGUAUGGAGAAGUCUGUGACCCGAUCCCCGUGUCCCCCCCGCGGGGCCGGGGAGGAGGCGAAGUCGAUGCUGUGCAACGAACCCUGGCGCGUCUUCGGGCGAGCCAGUCACCGUCACCCGGUCACGGCGGGGCCGGCGCGGGCCGGGGUCUGCACCCACUCGCUGGGUGGACCCCGACCCGAGGCUGCGUGCUCCCCGGACGGCGUGCGGUGAAGUCCAAGGCAGCCGAGCUUGGUGACAGCGGCACCGCUCUCUGCCCGUCCUGAAACACGGACCAAGGAGUCUAUGGAGCUUGCGGGCCGGCCGGUGUUGAGCAUGGCAACCCGGUCCAAGGCCACGGUGAAAGCAACACAGCCCCGAUGUGCGCAUACUGCAAGGGCCACCGGUCCCGAUGUCCAGUGGACUGGGUUUUGAGUGAAUGCAAGGUCCAUGGGACCCGAAAGGUGGUGAACUAUACCGUUCCACGACGAAGCCAUGGGAAACCGUGGUGGAGGUCGGUCGCUGUUCUGACGUGCAAAUUGUGUAGCCCGAGCGCGGCAUGGGGGUGAAAGGCCAAUCGAACCACCUAGUAGCUGGUUUCCCU